rnacentral:tRNA from 1 species
GGGAGUUUAGCUCAGCUGGGAGAGCGCCUGCUUUGCACGCAGGAGGUCAGCGGUUCGAUCCCGUUAACUCCCA